CAAGGACUCACAUGUCGCUGCCAGCAUGAUCUGUCAUUUGUUUUAUUGUAGUUUGGUUUCCAUUUCCCAGAUGACUAAGGAUGCUAAACAAUUAGGAAAAUUUUAAUUGGUACUUAAGCCAUGAUUUUUAAAAAAGCUUGCAUAAUGCAGUAGUUUCUAGAGUGUUUAUU
rnacentral:miRNA from 14 species